GUGCUCAGUUCGGCAGCACGUAAACUAAAAUUGAAACAAUACAAAGAAGCAGCAGGGCCCCUGCACAAGGAUGAUACGCAAAUUUGUGAAUCAUUCCAUAUUUUU
ensembl:snRNA U6 U6 spliceosomal RNA